GGCCGGGCGCUGGGGACGGCAACCCCCAAGCCCCCCACCCGCGCGGCCCCGCGCUGCAGCUGCGAAGAGAAGCGCCAGCGUGCUCGGUGCCACGUCGGAGUUGGCUCCCGGGACGUUGCAGCUGCCUGCGCUGCAGCGCGCGGUCCCCACGCACGCCCUGCCCCCGGGCGGCGGCGAGCAGAGGUUCGCGCGCCCUCCUCCCGCUCGGGUCGGCGGCUGCCACCGCUUGUGUCCGGGACCCCUGGCCCAAGUAAGGCUUCCGGAGCCGGGCUGAGCCCGGGCAGACCGAGCCUGACACUGCCUUGGGGUCCAGGGAGUGCAAAGGACGGGAAGCCCGGGAAAGUGGGAGUGGCCGAGCGAGGCCGGUAGCUGCGAGGAGGUGGCGAAGGACCCUCCUUCUCGGAGGGUCUCGGCUCCCAGGAGCUGGGAGCCCAAAUCACUUUAACCCUUUGCAUUCCAAGUAAGAAGCGGGUUUCCCACUUACAAGUAAAAGGCACUGAGCUGGCUGUUCCAGGGUUUUCCUCCCGACGUAGGGGGGGGGGGGAAGAACGGAAGGGAAGGGAUGGGAAGGGAAGGGGCAAAGGGGGGUGGCUGUGCGGAAUGCAUUUUCCUUGCACAGUGGAAAUUCUGGUUUCCUAGCCCGGGAGCCCCUCUGCGGCUCCGGAAGAUGAGGAGUGGAAAAGUACAUCUCGGGACGUGCAGUCUUUCCCAGGCAGAGAGGUUACCUGUGUUCCCAGAAAGGCAGCGGAUUUCUGCCGAGCGCCGCAGGGAUGGGGAAAGCCAGGGUUAUAUUGCCAAGCCUGACAGUGAUCUGAAAUAUCCCCUGAUUUUCAGUCUGUUGGAAAUUAUCAGACCUCAAACUUCUCUGUCGAAAACUAGCUUUACAAUUUUUUAACACUUAUGUGGGUAAUUUCUUCCCUCUCCCUGGCCUAUUCGGGGGCCCUCCUGGUUCACCAUAUCGCGCCAGUGUAACGUACCUUGUUCAGCUCUUGGUCAUAAAGUUGUCCUCAGACUGUCUGUGUGGUCCCGGAGGGUCGGUGGCGGGCAGUUUCCAAAAUUGAGGUAAUAAGAGAUCAGAUGAAUUUGAGACGACCGGCCAAAAAAAAUAAAAAAUUUAAAAACAACAUUUAAAAAGGAUGGGGGGGUAGUCUGAAAUGUUUGGUUCACCCCCACUUUAAAAGGAAAUUUCACCACUAUUCUUUUUAAUAUUUCCGUUGCACUUCAGUCUAAUUCUUAAAAGAAAAAUUUGUGCUUUAAAAAUAAAUUAACUUUAUUUUUAUUUUAUUAUUAUCAUUAUUAUUAUUAUUAUUAUUUUGCUCCAGUUCCCCCUCCCCUGAUAACGGAAAGUCUCUUUUCUUUUUCGUAUCAAGAAAAGCCCGGUGAAGUCUCAGCAGAACCCAGGAAGCGCAGAAUCGGGAGAAAGUCUUUGGCUGGGGCUGGUUCAAGUCCCUGGUUCAAUGGGCUGCUGGAAGCCAGGACUGGGUAAUUCUUUCCAGACGUCUUGACUUCUCCUUCCUCGCUGUUGUUGCCUUUCUGCCUCCUCCAACUUAAGGGGGUCUUAACAAGGGAGCUGGUGGGUGUUUUAAUAGGGCGGAGGAGGGAGUGGGGGUUGAGGGGAGUGGAGAAGGGAGGUGCGGACUGGGGAACCCGGGGGGAGGGAACUGGGAGCGCGGGCGGGCGGGCGGGAGGCGGGGAGGGGGAGAGGAAGAAAGAGAAAUUGGCCAUUCAAAGCCCUCUCUGAGCUAGAGGCCGGUUCUAAACUCCAAUGAAUUCAAUUAACUUGAUUGCUAACGUGUGCAGAGAAAUGCACUGCGCACAGGCUGGCCACCACCUGAUUCCCUCCUUCCUCCAGCGACAGAGCUGGGAGGCCGCGCUUUGCAGAAAUCCCUCAGCUCCGGUCUGAGUUACAAGGAUUCCCUCUUCGCGAAAAACUCCCCAAACGGUUUAACUAAUUUGCUGUGAGGCCAAAUGGUGCCCUUAGGCUACUAAGUAACAGCCCAGGGGAGAGAUAGCUGGGAGGUGUGUGUGUGUGUGUGUGUGUGUGUGUGUGUGUGUGCGCGCGCGCGCACACCUGGAACCUCCGAACGCCGGCAGCGACUCCAAAUAAAAUCGGCCACAGGUCUACCGCGUGUUAACCCUUUCUUCCCGGUAGCUCAAAAGUUUCUGAGCAGGCGUCAAGUGUCAAAGUCCUCCCUACACAGAAGUUUCGGUCUUGGGUGGCGGGAAAAGUGGAAACAUAGUUAUAUUUUUUUCCUUCACUUGGCCUCCUCACGUAAAAACACGCAAGCAGCGAGCAUUAUAAAUAAAAAUAAAAAUCGUGCUCCGUAGAACUCGAAAGUAGCGCGCUUAGAAAAAGCCAUUUCCAAGGGAAUGGCUUAAAUGGCUUCUGCUUCUUUCGAGAAGAUAGCGAGUCAAAAUACUUAUAUUUGAGACGCUCUUUUCUCCAUCUUUUCCCCAACGCCCUAAAGCUGGAAAGAGUCUUCCCGGUUACUCUUUUCCCCUUUCUUUAUUUCUCUUUGGUCCUCGCCAAAGCGUCUCCUGACUUAAAAUGGACACUAGGUGGCACUGUUUAGGAAAAAAUGAGAGUGGGUUUACAAAUUCACUAAUUUGGCCAUUGAAGGUUCCGCUGUAAUUAUUGCAGGGUAAAAAGAGAUUUCUUUCCUUUCCUUUGCUUCCCCCCCUCCCCCGCCCCGCCUUCCAAGGAUCCUCUGAAGUGUGAACUGCUUUGGAACUCAGAUAGGUCUUGAAAAGUGGGGUCUUGCUCCUUAUCACGUAUUUUGGACAAUAAGGAACAAGUCAAAACAGAAAAGUCGAGUAAACUAGGAACGAUGCUUU
rnacentral:lncRNA from 1 species